rnacentral:rRNA from 1 species
UGCAGAAUCCCGUGAACCAUCGAGUCUUUGAAUGCAAGUUGCGCUCGAGGCCAUUAGGUUGAGAGCACGUCUGUUUGGGCGUCA